rnacentral:rRNA from 1 species
AUUGAACGCUGGCGGCAUGCCUUACACAUGCAAGUCGAACGGUAACAGGUCUUCGGAUGCUGACGAGUGGCGAACGGGUGAGUAAUACAUCGGAACGUGCCUAGUAGUGGGGGAUAACUACUCGAAAGAGUGGCUAAUACCGCAUGAGAUCUACGGAUGAAAGCAGGGGAUCGCAAGACCUUGUGCUACUAGAGCGGCCGAUGGCAGAUUAGGUAGUUGGUAGGGUAAUGGCCUACCAAGGCGACGAUCGGUAGCCGGCCUGAGAGGGUGAUCGGCACACUGGAACUGAGACACGGUCCAGACUCCUACGGGAGGCGGCAGUGGGGAAUUUUGCGCAAUUGGCUAACGCCUGACGCAGCAACGCCGCGUGGAGGAUGAAGGUCUUUGGAUUGUAAACUCCUGUCAGCAGGGAAAAAGCGAGCCGGCCUAACAUGCCGGUGAGUUGAUUGUACCUGCAGAGGAAGCCCCGGCUAACUCUGUGCCAGCAGCCGCCGGUAACAC